UCCGAAGCCGGGAAGCUGGCAGUAUCCCGCGGACCGCGCUGUCGACGCCACACGUCGCACUCACGCUCGUCGCCUCAACGCCUCAACUGUUUCAAGUUCAAGCAAAAAUUUUCUUGCGGAAAAUUCGUCAUAAAGUGAACUGAAGCUGUGUGCUGUGGAAAACUGUGAGAACACUUGUGAAGUAAGCACUGUGUGUUCGUUCGCACCUCUUCCGUGGUCAGAUCCUCCGGAACUCCCGGGGGCACCAAGAAGUCGCCAAAAUAGCCAAAGUGUCUCCCAUAAAGUUGUCGGCUAUGGACAGUAAUUCGGUGUCACCGAUGCCAGAGCUAGCCCCGAUAGCGGAGUUUGACAAGUCUCCCCCCUCCCCCCCAAAUGAGGAGGUCCCGAUGGAUGACCUCCCGCCUCCUCCUGUCACCAUCUCACAGGCGGAAGGGAAGAAACUCAAAGUCCAGCGCACUCGCUCGUACGAGUCGGAUGACCAAUCGCGAGGAGCAUGUCAAUGGUGCGAGUACGCCCUGGUGAUCACUCUAGCGACGAUCCUCCUCAUCGGGGUGUCUGCGCUGACCAUCUUCUGGGUGUUCUACUACCAUGAUGGCUACUCUUGGGCUGAUGGCUCGCCGGAGAGGCAGUUUAACCUCCAUCCGACGCUCAUGGUCGCCGGGUUUAUCACCUUCAGUGGAUUCUCGGUGCUGCUGUACCGCAUCUGUCGGUGCUUCAGACGCAUCUACGUGAAGCUCCUCCACGCGAUCUUCCACGCCCUGGCGUUCCCGUGCAUCGUCAUCGGGUUCCUCGCCGUGUUCGACUACCACAACAAGACUGGCAUCAAUAAUUUCUACUCGCUCCACAGCUGGAUUGGCCUUGUGGCUAUGGGACUGUUUGGAAUUCAGUACGCAGUUGGCUUCUUCAGCUUCCUACUGCUGAUGAUCUGCAGUAAGGGCACCGCUGGUUUCCGUGCCUCCCUGGUACCUGUUCAUGCUGCAUUCGGAAUCCUGACCUUCGUUCUUGGCGCUGCUGCUUGCCUCACCGGACUCACUGAGAAGGCUAUCUUCCACAUCGGGAAAGAGAAGUACGAGAAACUAGAUGAAGAGUCCAUCGUGACCAACGCUAUUGGGAUCUCCAUCGUGGCCGUGGCUAUCGUCGUCCUGUUCACUGUACGUGGCACUGGCGGCUACCGUAUCCGCAAGGUCGCUGCCCAGCACCCGAGCUAAAUGCACUGCGACCCACCGACUGCGCCAUAGCAAUAACAUACUUGGAUACAAAAUACUGGUCGAAUAGAAGGAAUGAGUAAAGAUUUUCUUAAAUGUUAACCUAGAUAUUUGGUUAUAGUCUUGUUUCUAAGUUUAUCUAAUUCUUUCAGGAAGAUUAAUUAUAUCUAUAAGGGAUUUGAUGAAAUCGAUCAAUCGGCGUUUUGUAUCCAAUUUUUUUUCUACAUUUUUAACAACGUGCAUUCGAUUUUAUGCCUGUUCAAUCGUGAGAACACCAUGACUAUGUGCGUAAUAGGUUUAUCAUAAACUCGAAUAUCUUCCAUCUUCCUUUGUAAAAUAAUUUCCUGUAAGAAAAGACCUAACAAUGUCAUUAAAGACCCACUGAUUGUAGCAAAAUUAAACGGAUUAGCUCAAUUUGUUAACUUUAGUUUUACAAAUUUUAUUCGGCAAGUUUAUUGUUCUCGAGGUUGUGCGUUGUUCUAAUUUGGAUGUGUUUUGAGAACACGCAAUUAAAGACAUUAUUGUAAGUUUAAUCCGUCUCACCUUUAUUUCAUCAACCUAUUAGAUUAGGUUUGUGAGAGAGGCCAUUAGUCAAAAUUUAUUCGACUGAUAUUAAAAUAUAGAUUUACUUACAAUUAUUUCCAAAACCGUUUUUGCUAUAAAUGUAAGCGAGUAGAUUGCAAAUAACUGAAGCUAUAUGAUUGAAUUGGAGAUGAAGGUACAAUUUUAAGAAAUUAAAGAUGUAAUAAAAAUAUUCAUCGAAGUAGAAAUUCAUUUCCAUUUCAACUCCUACGCUCGCUGUUCUGUGGUAAAAUGUGUAGGUAGAGAUAGUUUUAGAUCAAUAAAUCGCCGUGUAAGUUAACUAUAAUAUAUAUGCAGAUCUUUUGAAAGUGGUUAAAUACAAAGAAAUUGGACGGCAAAUCUAUUCCAAAUCGUCAUUCACGAACGAAUACAUCAGAGGCCAUACACAUUUAGAUAUCGAAUUUUGGUUUCUACCAAAUAAAAUAGGAUAGUUCAUAAGAUAUUUAGGGAUAAACUGUAUAUAAUUUUUAAUCUAAUUAAUGUAAUGUGCGAGUGUUCGAUAGAUGUAGAAUGUGAUGGAGUCGUAGCGAAUAUUUACUAUUAAAUAUUUAUUGAUCAGUGUAAGGAAUGCAGAACAUUGGCGACACCUGACAUCUUGCGAGUCUGCUUGCAAUUAAACUACUUUGUUUCUCUAAUAAAUUAACAUUGUAAGUACAUAUAGAAAUUGGAAAUAUGAGUUUAAUUUGAACUGUUUUUAACAUGUUUUGAUUGAUAAAAUUCAUCUCUGUACUUAUUAGGUUGACGGUGCUUGUACCUAUUCUCGUGUGAAAAAAGGCGGGUAGUUUUAUCCCUGGUUACAUCCGGCAUUACACCGUACCACAUCUAUAUGGUUAUUAUUUCUUCGAGAAUAUACAAGUGCCAUAUUUUUAACACUUUUUCUGCAAAAAAAAAUAUUUGAAUGAGAACAUGGUCGUAGAUAAGCAUUUUAAAUGAGACAAGUGUUCAUCCAAGUUGCCAAAUUCGGUGUAAAGUCGUCAUAAUGUUUAUUGUAAUCAAUUAUUACUGUGUAUUAUUAUAUACAUAGAUACAUAAAAUACAUGUAGCAUGUUUAUCAUACUUUUAGGAUAAUGCUCAAGGUGUUUUUUGUAAGAGGGUAACCUAAAUACCUUUUUUCUUGUGUAGUGAAUGAGGAUAUGUAAAAGAUCAAUUUGUAAAUUGCAUUCCAAGAAGGCAUUUGAUGAUUUCCAAGUGUUAUUUUUGAAAAUAUACAAUCCGUAAGACUGCAUUCAUAAGUAGGUCCUUUUGUAUCAAAAUACAGGAUUUGCUAUGAUUUUUGCGAAAAAGUAUUUACAAAUUUUAAAUAUUCCAGUUUUUGUGGAUCCCUUUGACGAAAUGGGGCCAACUUUUUAUAUUAUUAUAGAAUCCUGGUUUGUACCUACCACAGCAGCGAUUUUUGAUGCAACUUUUAUUAGAAAUUAGGUACCCACUUAUUCAACCUUAAUUAAUUGUAUGAAGCGCUGUGUCAGCCAAAGUUUUUUGCCCUAGAAUACAUGAAUGAAAUGGUACAAUAUCUUUCACUUAUUUGACAGCAAGGCUUUGUUUUUUAUUAUUUAGUCCGAGUAACGAACUGUAUGCCCACCUAUCCCCUAAAAUACUUUAGGUAGAAAUACUAUCUACCGAUUUGUUAUAUUUUGAAAAUGCACCUAGUAAUUGAAUACAGUACCUGCUUAUUAAUGUAAUGAUAGUUUAUUUUUACUAAGUUGCAUUCGUACAGACGGUCUUCGAGGUUUCGAGUUGGUUACUUUGGAAUAUUUGCUAUUGUGUCAAUGAAACAUAAUUUCUAGUUGAGUUGACUGCAGUUAUAUUGGUUAAUAUGAAUUUUAUCACUGUUUUAACUUUUGAAAUAUUUAUACGGCAUUCAUAAUGGUACAUUAAAUACUUGUAUUAAUAAA